CGAUACCAGGACAUGGCUUCCUCAAAAUGGCAGGUAAGCUAGCUUUUGGAGUGGUUGUCAAGUGACUGUCCCAGGAUAUGACUUCCCCAAAAUGGCGGUGUGUCAGAGAAAACAAGCUUUGGAGUGGUUGAUGUGACUAGCCCAGCAUAUGGCCUUCCCAAAAUGACAGCGUGUCAGAGAAAACAAGCUACAUAACACUUUGGAGUGGUUGAUGUGAUUAGCCUAGCAUAUGGCCUGUGGUGUCAG